UGGUGGAGUGAUUUGUCUGGUUAAUUCCGAUAACGAACGAGACCUUAACCUGCUAAAUAGUUACGCUAACCUUGUGUUGGUGGUUAACUUCUUAGAGGGACUAUCGGUGGUAAAUCGAUGGAAGUUUGAGGCAAUAACA
rnacentral:rRNA from 1 species